rnacentral:ribozyme from 1 species
AGUCAUCAAUGAGUCAAGAACUGUGUAAUUGUUUUAGUUGUUAUCCUUAUGAAGAGGAAGAAGAAGUGAUAUAUCAUCCAGAGGGAGGUGCUUGGCAGAACCAUCCUUAUCUAGUUCCGAAUUCAGAUUCCAGCCGUUUUGCACAUGGAUAAAUCCUGUGCCUA